AGCUCCAGUGUUCCUGCACAGUGACUGGCUCCGCCCACCAACCUGACAUCAUCAGACUCUGAACAGAAAGCAGAGAGUCAUCAGUAAAGAAGUGAAUUUACUUCUGAAAAGCAAAGUUGAGUGCUGCUUCUGAAAAAAAACGUCUGCAACAAACAUAGCUGUGGAUGCUGAUUACAGCUCCUCCUGCAAACCUCCUCUCUCCUGCAGACAUCUCUUAGUAACUGAAACAUCUGUCGUGAUGGAAGAAGAAGAUUAGGAUCUGAUCUGUGGCUGACAAACAGGAAUCAAAAAGAAGGACAGGUAGUGAAGAUAGAACCAGGAAAGAUCAUGGACCUCACAGGUCCAUGCUAUAAAAACAGCAGAGUCACAGACCCGACUUAGACAAGAAGACUCACAGGACUCCAACUGAAAUGAGAAACCUGGGGAAGAAAGCUCUAAACAAAAAAAAACAAAAAAAACCACACACAGAAGAAGAGAAAGACACAUGACAGGCCCACCCUGCAUCACAGAACCCAGAUCCUGCUCCAGAAUCUCACUGUACCUCCCCUGAACCAGCAGCAGAAGAUCCAGAGCUGAUUAUCACCCAUCCUUCAGACAUCACCAAGGAAACCAACGAGAGGAGGUGGA